CAGCAGCCGCGGUAAUACGGAGGGAGCUAGCGUUGUUCGGAAUUACUGGGCGUAAAGCGCGCGUAGGCGGUUACUCAAGUCAGAGGUGAAAGCCCGGGGCUCAACCCCGGAACUGCCUUUGAAACUAGGUGACUAGAAUCUUGGAGAGGUCAGUGGAAUUCCGAGUGUAGAGGUGAAAUCCGUAGAUAUUCGGAAGAACACCAGUGGCGAAGGCGACUGACUGGACAAGUAUUGACGCUGAGGUGCGAAAGCGUGGGGAGCAAACAGGAUUAGAUACCCGAGUAGUCCCUGUCUCUUAUAC
rnacentral:rRNA from 1 species